AUCUCUGUAGAGUCUGCAUAUCAAUAAGCGGAGGAAAAGAAACUAACUAGGAUUCCCUCAGUAACGGCGAGUGAAGCGGGAAGAGCUCAAAUUUGAAAUCUUCAAGGUUCUACCUUGACGAAUUGUAGUUUAAAGAAGUGUUUUCUGUUAGGAGUUGAGUACAAAGUUCCUUGGAAUAGGACAUCAUAGAGGGUGAGAAUCCCGUAUUUGACUUAUUCAUUCUAGCUUUGUGAUACACUUUCAAAGAGUCGGAUUGUUUGGGAAUGCAGUCCAAAAUGGGUGGUAAAUUUCAUCUAAAGCUAAAUACUGGCGAGAGACCGAUAGCGAACAAGUACCGUGAGGGAAGAUGAAAAGAACUUUGAAAAGAGAGUUAAACAGUACGUGAAAUUGUCAAAAGGGAAGCGUUUGACACCAGUGUUGUUUUCUCGAAAAUCAAUUAAAAAUGGCUUGAUUUUGUGUUGUAUUGACCUUAAAAGCUUUCUUCACUUUUUUCAUGUCUUUUUUAAUGCACUUUUCGUUUAACAAGUCAACAUCAGUUUCUUUUGUUGUAAAAAGGUCAUUGGAAGGUGGCUUUCUUUUCGGAGAAAGUGUUUAUAGCCUUUGACUUCUGCAAUCGGAGAGACUGAGGUCUGCAGCGUAGAUCCUUCUGGAUUAGAUUCAUUUGUGCUAAGUUACAACCGUUUAUAGACAACUUGUUGACUAUAUUCGAUCCUGUAGCUUACUCGCUUAUGUAAUUUUACCUACGCUUAGGAUGUUGAAGAUGUAGCACAUCAU
rnacentral:rRNA from 1 species